rnacentral:tRNA from 1 species
GCGCUCUUAGUUCAGUUGGUAGAACGCUGGUCUCCAAAACCAGUUGUCAGGGGUUCGAGUCCUCUAGAGCGCG